CUUCGGCCCUGUCUGUGCUUUUGCCGCUUGCCCCCAGCCUGCUUGCUUGCUAUGUCCCAGAGGUAGAUUCUCUUUAUGUUGUCACUCAGCAGCCUAGAUGCUAACCACCAUAGCAGCACCGGGAGCCACACUGGUGUCUGCCGUGCUGCCUCUGCCUCUUGGGUGUGGCUUAAGCUGGGAGCUGCUGGAGCAAACACUUGGCUUUGUUUGUUGUGCUGUGAAAGCUUAUCUUACAAAAAGCUUUGUAGUUAGUGCUCAGCCCACCUCUGCUGCAACUCACCCUCCUGAGCAGGUGAUCUGUCCUGCUGCGCCUCACAGUGCUGCCUCUCUGGGGCUGGAGUGUGUCAGUCCCGUGCAGUGAGUGUGAAGUGUAAAGUGUGGUGACUCUCUUUCAGCGUACUGGACCGGAACAGUAAGCAUUUUGUUCGUGUGUUGAGAGGGAUGACACAAGCUUUGGUUCUCUUUGUUUUUUUGUUCAUGUAUGAUUACAAAUUUAUCUUUAGUUUUUUUUAACACUUCAGAGUGCAACCCUACUUACUAGUGUUACCAUUUUAUGUUUUGAAUUUUGUUUAUUUUAUAAAGAUCAAGCUUCAUAAAUAUUCUUAGUUAUUUUGCAGACCAGUUUGUCUAGUGUAGCGUGACACUGCCUCACUUUUCAACACUUGCUCAGUCUCUUGGGAAAUGUAUGAAGUGUAGAGUUUGAUAAUCUAAGGCAAGCUAAGUGUGUGGGACGCCUCUGCUGUGACGGCUAGUGUGUGGUGGUCAUUCCCUUGACAAGAGUGGAGGAGCUGCCUUGUAUGACUGUGGUGGACAUUUGUGUUUCCAUAGUUACUACAAAAUGUUUUGUUUUCAGAGAAUAAGUGAUGUAUCUGUAUAAAGUAGAUUAUGCUGUUAAAGUGAACUAUUUAUAGCAUAUUAAUUUCAUCAUUCACGUUACUCUCAAGAACUGGGAUUAAGAUUGCUUCCCUUUGCCGGCCUUUCCUCCUGUGCUCCGGGGUAAUGGUCUCUUAGUCUUACCCACCACAGGCUCAAGGGCCGAGGACACGGAGAUGAGCGCCAACACAGUACAGCUUUGUGUAUGCUCCCACCUUUACCUUUACCUUGUAGGCAGCAGCACAGUCACCUCACCAGCACAGAAACAGUCUCUCUCCAUGUCUGCUUGUGUACAUGUGUUAGGUUUACCAGUGUGGUGUUGUCAGACAUCCCGUAUUAUGAGACAUCCCAUCCUGAAUACAUACAUGAAUUUUGACAUGGUACUGUGUCUUUUGUCGACUGCUUGUCAUGAUCUGCCCCACCCAAGUUUAUUUAUGUUAUUAUAAAAGCAGAUGAUGAUGUAUGUAUGUAUAUAACAACGAUAUCAACAAUCACUUCUUCUUGUGACCUGUUCUGCUUUGCAUCACUUUCUAGGUCCUCCUUGGUAAAUUUUUACACUUAAAUGUUUCACUUAGUUACUCUGUGAUAGUAAAGAUUGGGUCCCGCGAUGCAAAGUUCAGGAUGGGAUGUCUCAUUACAAAGGACGGCAGACGACACCACACCGGGAACUUUUUGUUUUUGCACUCAAGUCUUAAAGUUGCUGUGGGUCAUCAAGUGACUCACGAUAUACCUCUUGCCUUUUUGAGAGACGCCUGAGCUCUUAUAAAUUUUAAAAGAGAGGUUUCAAAAUGUAUGCAGAAUUUUUAUAGUAACUUGAUUUUAAGUAGUUGCAUAAAAGUGCUGAUCUGCUUCUUAAAGUCUUCUUCAGUUGUUGCAAGGGUAUUGUAGAAAGGUAGAUGGAGACUAGGGUAUUGUAGCAAGGUAGAUAGAGACUAGGAUAUUGUAGCAAGGUAGAUAGAGACUAGGAUAUUGUAGCAAGGUAGAUAGAGACUAGGAUAUUGUAGCAAGGUAGAUAGAGACUAGGGUAUUGUAGCAAGGUAGAUAGAGACUAGGAUAUUGUAGCAAGGUAGAUAGAGACUAGGGUAUUGUAGCAAGGUAGAUGGAGACUAGGGUAUUGUAGCAAGGUAGAUAGAGACUAGGAUAUUGUAGCAAGGUAGACGGGCAAAAUAAGUUAGUAGACCAUCUUUUUAUUAUGCAUCAGGUUGAAGGUAAAUCAUUAUAUAAGUGGGCAGGAGUUGUAAUUACUAAAAUAUGGGAAAUUUGAGAGAUAACAUUACUUUGCUAAAUAAUAGAAGAAAACACUUUUUUAAAAAUAUGCAAAACAAGGGAUAUGUAAUUCGCUCUUGAUUAUAACUCUGCAAGCAAGCAUCAGCCUUGUCUCAAAACACUGCCACCUUGUAUUAAAGUGCUUAGAAUUAUUGGUUUGCAUACUGGGAGGAAGGAAGGCAUCUGGAACUUGGAUAAUUUUUUUUUUUUUUUAUGUUUUUAUUUUAUUUUUAACCCGGUAGCAGCGACGGGCCAAAUUUGUGGCUUUACCGUGUACCAGCGACAGGCCAAAUUUUUGCCAUGAUAUAAACCCCCCAAAAUAGAUGAUGCAUAAAAUGAUCCCAAAUGCGUUGAUAUAUAUUAUGAAAUGGUUUGUGUGAGGGGUGAUUUUUUCUCAUUUUUUUUGCUUAGAGGGGCCUUUAAGAAACAUGAUCCCCACAGCUACCGGGUCAAGGCAUCUACUUGAUCAAAUUUGUUGGCAUUUACUUAAACUGAGAGUAGUGUGACUUAAGUUCCAAGUUCACGCAUUGUUUUAAGUUACUAUGGGUGAGAGUGUUAUGUUUUGAGUAGGCGCAAAGUGUGUGUGGUGUGCGUGGAGUAGUGUGUGUGUCCGAGGAGUGUGUUGUGGGGGGCUGUGAGGUGCAACUUUGUCCUGUGGUGCUGUAACCUUCCGCUGGAAAGCUCGACUCAUCACCUAACAGUCGCUGUCCUCCACCUGCAAAGGAACACUUAUCUCACUCUCCGCUGCAGCUGUCCUUGGUUACUUUGUGUUCACUUGUUUGAUACCACCCAGCACCUGCAUGACACACACACACACACACACACACACACACGGGGGCCUAGUGGUGCAGUGGUUAGCACACUCGGCUCACAACUGAGAGAGCCCAGGUUCGAUUCCCGGGCGGAGUGGAAAAAUUUGGGCAGCUUUUCCGGUACCCUAUGCCCCUGUCCACCCAGCAGUGAAUGGGUACCAGGUAUUGAUCGGGGGUUGUGUCCCGUCUCCUGGGAUCUGUUCCCUUCUCCUAGAAUUCCUUCCCCUUCUGUCUCUCUCCGGCAUAUGGCCACAGAUGUUGCGCCGACUAAGCAAAACUUUCCAACUUUCCACACACACAUACCCACAUACACACACAAACCAACAGACAUAUAAACUAGCAUGUAAUUUAUAUUUAUCCAGUUUCCAAUGUCUUGCUUUUCAAAAUCUGAUGAUGCAAAAGUAGAUAAUGCAGUUAGCGAGAAGCACAGAUAGUUGUCAAUUUUUGUUAGCAUGAAUUAUAUAUUAUACUGAAGGAGGGACUUUCAUGGUGUGUGAAGAUGGGAAACUGAAAUGAACAAAGAGAUUAACCUUCAGUGUGUUGGGGAAAAGUUUCAGACUCCAAAAUAUAGCAAAAGAGAAAGACGGGAUACAGGUACACAGUAUGAGGGAAUAGACGACCUUGCCCUUACCCCUUUAUCUGCAAUAGUCUGCAUACCAACACUAGUUUUUAUUUUUACCCCUGUUUGAUGCUCCUCUAACACACUUUUCCUGUAGCUAACUGCCUCAUGUUUCUAUUGUUUUGUCUUGAUGGUCUAACAUGAACAUAAGCAAACUGAUUGACAUUUGCAAGGUAUACUGUGGACUCUUAACCCGGUAGCAGCGACGGGCCAAAUUUGUGGCUUCACCGUGUAGCAGCGACAGGCCAAAUUUGUGCCAUGAUAUUUACCCCCCAAAAUAGAUGAUACAUAAUCUGAUCACAAAUGCUUUGAUAUAUAUUAUGAAAUGGUUUGUGUGAGGGGUGAUUUUUUCUCAUUUUUCUCGCUUGGAGGGACCAUUAAGAAACAUGAUCCCUGCUGCUACCGGGCUAAGUAUGCUAUUCUGGGCUGUAGAUUAAGAUGAAUGGAUUAACUCACUAAUUUGUAACAAUCACCAGUAUUGUAGAUUUAAUUCCAUACUGUUAUUUUAAACUAUAAGUGAUAUCAACCAAAUAAGGCCAGGAAAUUCAUUGAGAAGUGAUAUUAAUGUUGAAAUACUUGAAACACAGUGAGUAAAGAUCCUUCAGAAUUAACACAUUGCAUGGAGGUCUCACUUGAACCUCAGGAACACGACCGCUCAAGACAGCAGUAGAGGAGGUUUGCCAAUGCGUACACACCAUUCCAAUUAGUACUCAUGUCUGUCGGGUAAGAAAACUGCGGAAAACUGAGCUGGUGUAUAAAAAUUAACAUUGUGAAAACGAAGAAUCUCUAUCACGUUAACCUUAUAAUUUUGACCAUUUAUUGUCGCAUUGGUCUAUUCCGUCACUGGUUAAUUUUGAUAAUGGUACAGUGUGACAGUUUUGUUUCAUAUCUCGGCUCAGUUCUCCGGAAUAACAUUUUUUCCUGAUGUGAAACUAAAUUGGAAGAGUACGAGAGAGCCGUCAAACCUCUCCUACUGGUAGUGUUAUUCCGAGUGUUUACGAGGGUUGUG